rnacentral:lncRNA from 1 species
UUCAAUAUUUUCUGUUCUUAUAGAAAAAGAGAUUUGUGGAACUGGAGGUCUUCAAAUUUCCAUCCAGCAGAAGAAUGAUUAAGGUAUCGAUUAUGGCGGAGCUGUUAGGAGAAUGCAAGGUGGCGCUAGCAAGGGUGAGGGAGAGGCUGUUAACACCAACCCCAACCUUUCAUUUUCACCCUUUCCCUUCUUCUUCUCAUGAUUCUUCUUUCCUUGUUUACUUUUAGUAAUUUAAUGUUUCUAGUUUGGAUCUUUUUCUGUGUUUCUUUUUCCUUUUACAUAUAAUUUUCAUCAUCCUCAUUCUUUUCUUAGUGCUCUACGAUAAUGUAAAUUUCAGUAACCCUUUUUCUGUUUCCUUAUUGUAGUCAACAGCUUAAUUAUGAGACAUCGGUGUGGGCAGAAUCCUAAAUUAGUUCCUUUGUAUUCACCUUAUCACUACCUCUACGAAUAAAAACGACUUACACUUGUCAAAUUACAUUUUAUCCCAGGUAAAUUAUUCUUAUAUAUUAGAUUAAAAAGUAAAUUAUUUUUUAUUAAAACUUUCAUCUAUUUCUACAGUUAAAUAUUGAUCUCUAUAUGUCAACAUGAUGUAUAUAUGGCAUGUCACGUGUCAUUGUCUAGUUAUUUUGUCAAUCGCAUCAGUUUUUAACGAUACAAAUGAAUGAAUCUUUUAACAAAAAUGAACAAUUUGCUCUUUUAUCUAAUAUACAUGGACUAACUUGUCUUUUUUUUUAAUAGAGGGAGCAAAAUGUAAUUUAACUCCUAAUACAGUGGCCUCCAUAGUACUUUUAUUAGAGAUGCCCAAUGAUGGUUAUUAAAAAUUCAUAUAAAAAUGAAAUGAUGUUUUGAUUGUAAUGAUAAAUUAAGUUAAAGGUUUUGCAUGCAUGAUAUUCUUAGUUCAAAUCUUAUUAAUUUAUAGGUACAUUUUUUUAUUGAUUUAUAAAAUAUAUAAAACAGAACAAAAACACUCUCAUAAUGAUAUAACUUAUUUUGCACGUAGAAGAUUAUUUUGAUAAUUUCACAAUUAAGUUGGUGUUCGAUUAGCUCGUGACUUAAAUAUAAAUACUUUAAAAUAAAAAAAAUUUUCUCUCCAACAAAAUGAAAUUGAAUGGAGGUUUGGCUCAAAGAAUAUAAAAAUAAUUUUGAUAAUAGAUUAUUUUGUCUGGUUUAUUUGGUUGUGAUGUAAGAUUUGAUGUUUGAUUGAUGAAACUUAAGAUUAUUUAUUAAAUUCUUAUUAUAAAAUUUAUUUAUUUUUAAAAAAAGUUUAGUUUUAUUUUUCAUAGUCACAAUUUUCAUAAAUUACAAUAAAUUGUGAUAAUUACUGUUUUUAUUACAUAUUAAUAAUUAAAUAUAUGAUGUUGUAAUAAUUAUAAUAAUCGUGAAAAAUGAUUGCAUCAACAAUCAUAAUUUGUAAAAUUUUAAGAUAAUGUAGUCAUUAAGUUAAUUAUUUUGAAAUAAAAAUAUUAAAUUUUAAGACGUUAUAGGACCAUGUCAAUACUAUCGUUAGGAUAGACAUCGUAGUGUCAGUGUUGAUCCUUCCUUAUAUGUAACCAUAUUAUAAAACCAAUAUUUGGUUAAGUAGAUCCAAAUUUGUUCUUUUAGAUUUCCUUAGUUAUAACUAAAAUAGAUUCAAUAAGUUACUAACGGCAACUAAAAAAAUAUCAAUGGAAACUUAAAUUUUACUUUUUUUAUAUAUCAUAUUUGGGGUGGAGAUGAAAAUAACAAAAUUUGAAUUCGUGUCUAACGAUGUCCGAUACACUCCAUACAAAUUAAAAACUCGUAUAAAAUUUUGUUUCAAAUAGAUCAAAUUGUCGAAACCAUUUUUAUGAUUUGAAAAAUGGGGAUCGACUUUUGAAAAUAAAAUGUGGAGUCGCCACCGAUCUUUUAUUAAUGUGUGAUCGGUUCACCAUUAAAAAUAAAUUUUAGGUCUGCGAAAUUUGAGAAAACAGGUUCGGGAGUCGGUUACGCACGAGAAAGGGUUAGCACCCUCGUAACGCCCAAAAUUGGUACCGAAUCGAUUGUUUAAUGUCUUAAUGUUGCAAUUUUGAAAAGAUUUUAAAAUACGAUCCUUUGAAAAGAAAACUUGAGUAAGAUGAUUUGGAUAUUUAUUUCGAUCAAAGAAAAUGAAACGAAAAGCAGCGAAAAAAAAAACUCGAAUCACCUUUAAGAAAUUUUUUUCUGUAUA